rnacentral:rRNA from 1 species
GACGAACGCUGGCGGCGCGCUUAACACAUGCAAGUCGAGCGAAGCGGCGGACUGGUGAGUAACCCGUGAGUAACCUGCCUUAGACCUUGGGAUAGCCUCGGGAAACCGGGAUUAAUACCAAAUGGUCUAAGAUGGACUCGCGUCCCAUUAGGUAGUUGGUGAGGUAACGGCCCACCAAGGCGACGAUGGGUAGGCGGCCUGGGAGGGUGAACGGCCACAUUGGAACUGAGCAACGGUGCAACCUCUACGGGAGGCAGCAGGGGGGAAUAGUGCACAAUGGAGGGAAUGCUGAUGCAGCGACGCCGGGUGAACGAAGAAGGCUUUCGAGUCGUAAAGUUCUUUUAUAUGGGAAGCGGUACCAUAAGAAAAAGCCCCGGCUAACUACGUGCCAGCAGCCGCGGUAAUAC